rnacentral:rRNA from 1 species
CAGUAGCCGCGGUAAUACGUAGGCGGUAAGCGUUGUCCGGAAUUAUUGGGCGUAAAGGGAGCGCAGGUGGGACGGUAAGUCCGUCUUAAAAGGCAGGAGCUCAGCCCCUGUAAGGGAUGGAAACUAUCGAUCUUGAGUGCCGGAGAGGAAAGCGGAAUUCCCAGUGUAGCGGUGAAAUGCGUAGAUAUUGGGAAGAACACCAGUGGCGAAGGCGGCUUUCUGGACGGCAACUGACACUGAGGCUCGAAAGCCAGGGGAGCGAACGGGAUUAGAUACCCCCGUAGUCCCUGUCUCUUAUACA